rnacentral:rRNA from 1 species
CUGCGGCGGACUACCAUGCAAGUCGAGCGCACCUUCGGGUGAGCGGCGGACGGGUUAGUAACGCGUGGGAACGUGCCCUUCUCUAAGGAAUAGCCUCUGGAAACGGAGAGUAAUACCUUAUACGCCCUUCGGGGGAAAGAUUUAUCGGAGAAGGAUCGGCCCGCGUUAGAUUAGAUAGUUGGUGGGGUAAUGGCCUACCAAGUCUACGAUCUAUAGCUGGUUUUAGAGGAUGAUCAGCAACACUGGGACUGAGACACGGCCCAGACUCCUACGGGAGGCAGCAGUGGGGAAUCUUAGACAAUGGGCGCAAGCCUGAUCUAGCCAUGCCGCGUGAGUGAAGAGGGUCUUAGGAUCGUAAAGCUCUUUCGCCAGGGAUGAUAAUGACAGUACCUGGUAAAGAAACCCCGGCUAACUCCGUGCCAGCAGCCGCGGUAAUACGGAGGGGGUUAGCGUUGUUCGGAAUUACUGGGCGUAAAGCGCGCGUAGGCGGAUUGGAAAGUUGGGGGUGAAAUCCCAGGGCUCAACCCUGGAACUGCCUCCAAAACUCCCAGUCUUGAGUUCGAGAGAGGUGAGUGGAACUCCGAGUGUAGAGGUGAAAUUCGUAGAUAUUCGGAAGAACACCAGUGGCGAAGGCGGCUCACUGGCUCGAUACUGACGCUGAGGUGCGUAAGUGUGGGGAGCAAACAGGAUUAGAUACCCUGGUAGUCCACACCGUAAACGAUGAAUGCCAGUCGUCGGGUAGUAUACUAUUCGGUGACACACCUAACGGAUUAAGCAUUCCGCCUGGGGAGUACGGUCGCAAGAUUAAAACUCAAAGGGAAUUUGACGGGGGCCCGCACAAGCGGGUGGGAGCAUGUUGGAUUUAAUUUCCGAAGGCAACGCCGGCCAGAAACCCCUUUAUC